AGAAUGUAACACAGGAAAAUAAUUAAAUAUUUUCACUGUGGUAAGUGUUUUAUGAUUUUACAUUUUAAAAAUUCUUUAAUUUUUAUUAUUUUUUAGUUCUGCUUCCUUAAGUUAUAAAAGGGAUAUUGUUUUAGGAGCAUUUGACUUCAUAGAACCUGUGGUUGGUAAGGUGGAUGCCAAUAAUGUGGGCUGUUUGAAUAAUGACGUUUGUCUUUCCCUCUCUUUGACUCUAAUAUUUUAAUUUCUAUUAUCUUGUCAUUAUAAAGUAUGGUUCUGAGAAGGAGAUCCUGUAUUACAUCUACUUGCAACAUUCAAUGAAUUCUUUCCUCUUAAAUAGGAAGUUGAAAAGAUUUGAAGUAAUUUUGGUGAUAUAGAGGCAUUUCUAAAAAGUUUGUUGUGAUUUUUUAUUUUACUAAUUAGAAAAAAUUUUACCCAUAUAAAACAACAUAAUGACAAAAGUCAGCCCUCAACUCCUGCACAAAGAAAUAGCCACCAUUAACUCACUUUUGGAAACUUAUUGAUGGAUAUGAAAGUAUACAGAAGACUUUAAAUAAACAGCAGUUUUUCUCUAUAUGAAGCUAUGUGGUCAUUUUUAAUGUGUUUUAUGUAUCUCUAUUUGUGAGUUGAAACUGAUGUGCAUAAUCAUGGGUGAUCAUUUUACUGGCUGCCUAGUUUGUUUUUUUAAUUAUUUUUUUAGUUGUCAAUAGAUCUUUAUUUAUAUAUGCAGUGCUGAGAAUCAAACCCUGUUCUUUACAGGUGCCAGGCAAGUGCUCUACCACUGAGCUACAACCCCAGCCCUUGCUGCCUAGUUUUCCAUCAUUUAGAGGCAUCGUACUUUAUCUAGCUACUCCUUUGAUAACUAUUUAGAUUGUUACUUGUUUUUCUUUCUUGUGAAUAAUGGCAUGUUGAUAAUAGUAUACUUAUUCAUUUAUCUUCUUAGAGGUAUAACUGCCAGGUCAAACAUUAUAUAUAUUUUAAAUAUUAAUAAAUAUGGCUGAGCCGUUGUCUGUAAAAACUAUCCCCUUCAAUGUCCAUGAGAAUCCUAUUUUUAAAACCCUUGCUCACACCAAGUUUUCUUAAUCUUUUUAAUCUUUGCUAAUCCAAUAUGGGAAAAAAAGUACAUUUUUUGAGAUAACAUGUUUUUUACUGGUACUGGGGAUUGAACCCAGGGGCACUUCCCCAGUAAAUUAGAUCCCCAGGACCUUUUAUUUUUUAUUUUUUUUUUUAUUUUGAGACAGGGCCUCGCUAAGUUGCUGAGGCUGUCCUUGAACAGUGAUCCUCAACAGUGAUCCUCUUGCCUCAGUCUCCUGAAUUGCUGGGAUUACAGGUGUGUUCCACUGUACUCAACUAUUGAAGGAAACCUUGUGUUAUUCAAAGAUUUCUUUCAUUCAAUAUUCUUAUUAACAUAAAUAAUUCUCUUCUUAAGGACAUACUUGUGAUUCUUAUAUGUCAGAUAUUCUUAGGCUUAAAUGUGAUGAAAAUAUUUAAAUAUAUUGAGUUGUUUUUAGGUCUUUUGCCUUGAUUUUAACUCAUUAUCAAUAUUUGAAAACUUGAGGGUUGGGGAUGUGGCUCAAGUGGUAGCGUGCUAGCCUGGCAUGUAUGAGACACUAGAUUCAAUCCUCAGCACCACAUAAAAAUAAAAUAAAGAUAUUGUGUCCACCUAAAAAGUAAAUAUUAAAAAAAUAUAUUUGAAAUCUUGAUCAACUAGCUAUAAUUGUUUUGAAUACAGAAUGUUUUCCUCUGCAAAGAGCAGUACUUUUGUGUUUUAUUCACCUGAAGGGAAGCCUAAAAUAACUUUCAAAAUAAUUUUUUUAACAAUUUUCAAACAUGGAUACCAAUGGCUGAAUAGCAUAUAGAAUAUUAUUUCCAUAAUUGGUUGAUAAUAUAGUGUUUUUGAGUUAUGUAAACUAUGUGAUUGUGUGUUCAUGUGUAAACCUGUGUGUAUUUCUUCUGUCCAAAAGAUUUUAUCACUUCCUGAUGUAAAUAUGAUUUUUAAUUUUAUGUUUGCUUUAGGUUUUAUUUCAAUCAAAUAAGAGUUACAUAUAAGGAUGGCCUCACAUGAAGCAGAUUCACAACUUUGUCAUUUACCUACUGUUUAUUCUUUGGCUUAAUAAGAAAACAUUAAACUGUCUUCUCUAUAUAAAGUACAUCUAGAUUGCUUUUCCUGAGGGGGCUUUUGUUUUCAUUUCAAUUAACAUUGUUUACUGAAUACCCCAAGGUUAGGACCAUAUGGUCCAACUGGUGAUUUAUUCACUAGUUUUUAUUCAGCACUGAAUACCUACCUACCUGGUAGGCAUCCACAGGUGCUAGGCAAGUGCUCUACCACCCAAAUCAUUAUUUACUUAUUUGUUUAAUUUUUUGGUACUGGGGAUUGAAUCUAGGGGAACUUUACCACUGAAAUACAUCCCCAGCCCUUUUUUAUUUUAUUUUUAUUUUGAUACAGGGUCUUGCUAAGUUGCUUAGGGCCUCACUAAGUUCCUAAGGCUGGCCAUGAACUUAGGAUCCUCCUGCCUCAGCCUCAAUCUCCCAAUGGUUGAUGUGUAUUGUCAUUAUUAGGUUAAAGAUGUGAAAGAGAAUAGCCAUACAUUUUAAUUUAGAGAAGAGUAACAUGAUUUCAUUUAAAUUUAGAUGUGCAUAACUGUAUGGCACUUGCUACUAUUUCAUUUGAUGGAACUUUGUUUCAAAUUUUGAUUUGGACUAUAUUCUACUUACUUUUUAGAAUCACAUAAGCCCUGUAGUUUAAAUCUUUUUUUUUUUUUUCCAUUAUGGGCAGAGUAAGUAUUUAAACUAGGUAUGCUGCUAGAUCUUGUUUAAAAUCUGUUAAUGUUUCCCAGUAUAGACAUGGCAAUGUUUUUCACAAUAUGAUGUUUAAAAAUAAGGAUAAAGGGGCUAGGGAUGUGGCUCAAGUGGUAGCGCACUCACCUGGCAUGUGUGCGGCCCCGGUUCGAUCCUCAGCACCAUUCUCUUUCUUUCUCUCUCUCUCUCUCUCUCUCUCUCUCUCUCUCUCUCUCUCUCUCUCUCUCUCUCAGAAAAAAAAAGAAAAGAAGGAUAAAGUAAAUGCUCCCCAAAAUAAAGUAAAUAUAAUUGUAUGGUUCACAUUUUUAAAAAUAAAAUCAGAGAAAUGAAUUGCCAGACUUUGAGUAGAAUGAAUAGAUUUUUGUCUGGGACAUGUCUGUGAAGCUUUUCUGACUCCUAAACCAGUUUUUCAUAGCCAAAGUAAACAGAGAGAUGGAACAAUUAAUGAUCUAAUAGAUUUAAGCAGUGUUUUAGUCUGGAUUUUAUAUAGUUCAUUUCUGUUGGAAUACAGGAUUCUAAAGAAUAAAUGUAACUAGUUUUAAUUAGUAUUUUUGCAGAAGACAUUUGCAUGUGAAAAUUUUAAAAUCAAAUAAUCCUCUAGCAAUUUUUAUUUGCACUUUAAUUUGCCUAGCAGUUGUUUCUUUUUAAUAUUUAUUUUUUAGUUGUAGUUGGACACAAUACCUUUAUUUUAUUGAUUUAUAUGUGGUGCUGAGUAUUGAACCCAGGGCCCUGCAUGUGCCAGGCAAGCACUCUACUACUGAGCCACAACCACAGCCCCCAGCAAUUGUUUCUUAAUACAUAGUCCAAAAUUAAAUCAAGGCAGACUUGAAAUUAUUGAGUCUUCAUUAUUGGGCCAAAUUAAUGAGGUUUUCCUGAACUUUUCCUUCUGGGAUCUUAUUAUGGCUAGUGAUGUAAUCUUAUUUGUUUUCUAAAAUAUUGAAGUUCGAUAUUUUUGAAUCUCUUUUCUGUGGCAGUACAGGAAUUUGUUUAUACAGUGCCUUUUAUUUUACUGAUGAGUUCAUUUCUUUAAUUGUGUGCCCUAAAGCCUACUAAAAAUAUUCCUGGAUAGUGAGGGAUUAAAUAGAAAUUGUAAUUAAAAUGAAGGAUUUAUCCUUUAUUUCUCCUGUUAGCUGCAUUUGUUAAAAUUUUUAUACAACAUUUAAAUAAAUAUUAAGACUUUAUUACAGGGCUGGGAUUAUGGCUCAGUGGUAGAGUGCCUGCCUGGCAUGUGUGAGGCACUGGGUUUGAUCUCGGCACAACAAUAGAUAAAUAAAUAAGUAAACAAACAAAUAAAUAAAUAAGUAAAUCUAUUAUGUCCAUCUACAACUACUAAAAAAAAGGACUUUAUUAUAUAUUAUAUUGGUUGGAUUUUGUGCAUUUGAAACAGUUUCUUCCUAUAUUAGGCAUAAAGCUUAGUUUAGACUGGUAUAGUAAGUGAUCAUUUGAUUGGAAAGUUGGGUAGACUGAGAAGUCCAGUCUUCCUGUGCAGAAUUUGAGACUUUGUACUCUUUGAGAUGAAACAGCUUUGCAAUCAGGGUAGUAGUACUGAGCUGCCAGUGGGAGGAGAGAUGCCAGAUGCUGGUAUACAGUGUAGAUGAGAGCCCCUCAGGGUUUCCUUCUAUAGAUUCUGCAACUGACCAGGUCUUCCCAAGGGGCACUGUUAACUCAAAGUCUUAUGAGUAGAGUUUUAGAAAGGGGAGGAAAUAAGAGUAGCUUUGGGGCACAAGGUCCAUAAUGAGCUCAGAGCUUAGUGAAACUCCCAAAGUUCUGAAUGUCCCAUCAUCCUGAGAAAUUUCCUCCCUCCUAACCCUGAAAGUUUUGUCCAGUGUGUGACAUAAUGCAAAUUUGUGUGGAGCUAGCAGAGCAAGUCUAUUACUACAGAGUCUAGAUGCUGUCUUUAAAUGGACAUCCAGCAUGGGAAUAUGGCUGAAAACCACUACCCCCUCCCCACAUCUUAUCUAUAGCAGUGCAAUUGGAAUUUCACACAAGCUUUUCCUUCUUUGGUUUGUUUAGAGAGGACACCUAGGUGCAGGUUGUGUUUGUGUAUUUUAAACCCCCUGUGAUUUGUUUUAGAUAUAUUUCAGUCUGUUAAAAUAUAACAGUUUUUUUUUUUUUUUUUUUUUUUUAGUCUGAACAUUCUAGCAGCCAACAUUAACUCAAACAUUAAUUGCUGUCAAUGGGAAAGGAUAUCUUUCCACAUCUUUUCUUGGUGCUUACACCAUCCCACUUCUUUUUUCUUUUACCUUAAUAACAGAUUACUGACACUUGGGAAUUAUAAACAUAUUGCAGCAAUCUUUAUGGAAAGAUUACCAAUUAUUGCACUGCAAAAUAAACAUUUCUUUCUAAUAGAGUGUUUCUCUCCAUGUCUUUCUUUCUCUCAGUUUAGUGCUUUUAAAUACCUUUUAGGUGAAUGAAUGCUUUGUGUCAUGCUGUGAUUUAAUAUUUUUAAGAGACUUUAUUGAUAGCUUUUUAAAAAACCUAUGUGGGAGGAGGAUGAAGGAGAAAGAUUAUUCAUUCAAUGUGAAAUCUUCAUAGAUCUUUAGAUGUCCACAAGGUAGAAGGAUGGCUAAUGUUAAUUACCCCUACUCUGGUAUAGUUCUGAAAUUAGUAUUUGCUGUGAAGAGUUGUGAACAGUGAGAAUAUUUGUGGUGGGCUGUGGAUUGAGCAUUGCAGUGUGCUCUUUGUGCUGAUUAGAUCCAGAAGUUUUGUGGAACCCUGGAAUACACCAUCUAUUUCCAUUUCCACUGCCCAAAUCAGGAGAAAUAAAAGCUUGCACAUACACAUACUGGCUAAGUGGCUACACACAGAGUUCAAUUUGAAUGUCUUCACAAAGCCAAUCCAGCAAAGCUACCAGAAAUUAGGUGUUGAAGAUGAAAUAGCAGUUUUUGUUUUGUUUUGUUUUGUUUUUUAAUUAAAAGUAGCAUUUUUAAAGGAGCAAUAGUCUCCUUCUCUUAUCUUUACUGUAGAACAGCAUGGAAAAUUUAGGCUCUGCUGCAGUGUGUUAGGCACCUUUGUGACUUCCUGCUUUCUAGCUACUGGGCUUAGACAUCAUGAGUUGGUAUUGGCUCAUAUUGAGGAAAAAAUAAGGAAAUCACAUAAGGAGACAUAUAUAUCAAAGUAUAAUCUACCUGAUCAAUAGAUGUCAAUAUUUUUUCAAGGAGUACUCUUGAACCUGAAUGUAAAAUCUUAUAGAAGACAAAUCAUGAAUGUAUUUUGGUGUCCUGUAAAUGGUAUUGAGUAAAGAGUACAUUUAAGUGAGACUCAGAGCUGAAGCUUAGCUGUAAAGACCAGAUUCUGUGUAUUUAUUUAGAUAGAAAAGAUCUACAAAGGCCUGAAUUUUUUUGAAUGUCUGGGUUGGGCAUGUUUGCUCAUUCUCCCUGUCCACAUCUCUUAAUCUAUGAUAGAGCCAUUAGAGAGCAAGAUGACAUAGCCCGUCUCCUCACUGAUUCCUGAAGUUCAAGUGCAUCGGAUGCUGCUAAAAAAUGGCAGAAGCGCUGAUGUGUGAACUUGAUUAGGGAAGCUUCUGAAGUAGAUUGAUAUUUAUAGAAUUUGUAAAUAGGCAGGAUAACAGUGAAGAACAGUUUCUGUAUUUAUCUAGCUGAAUCUCAGCUUUAAAUUGCAUUGUCUGUCUCAUUAUUUAACCCUCAUUAUCCAAAUUGUUAUGCUUUUACCUUGUAAACCAAAAGGUAUCCCAUUCAUCAUAAAUAAUAAGAAGCUUUGUCACUGUUCUGACUAAAAGAUCUGACAAGAACAAUUUUAGAAGAGGAAUAGUUUAUUUAGGGGCUCAUUGUUUCAGAUGUCUCAGUCCACAGGUAGCUGGCUCCAUUCCUUGGGGUACAAAGUAAGGCUGAACAUCCUGAUGGAAGAGUGUGGAGGAGGGAAGCAGAGAUAGACUUGCUAAUUUAAUAAUUAACUUAAUAAUUUUUAUAUUAUCACAUGAUAAUCAGAAAGCAGAGAGAGAUUUCACUCACCAGAUGCAAAAUAUAUACCCAAAAGUCACACCCCAAAUAACCCAGCUCCUCCAUCCACACCCUACCCACCUUCAGUUGCCUCUCAGUUAAUUCCCAUCAGGAGAUUAAUUCACCUAUUGGGUUUAGGCUUUCAUAACCCAGUCAUUUCUCCUGUAAACUUUCUUGCAUUGUCUGGCGUAUGUGCUUUUGGGAAACACCUCACAUCCAAACUAUAACAUCUCCUUUGUUCUAAGAACUUGGGGCCUUAAAAUGCCAUCAGUGCCCUUAUGGGUAGAAGGGGUGGAUGGAAGGAAAGAGGCAAUCUGGGUUUUGUUUUUUGUGUGUUUGUUUGUUUUGUUGUUGUCGUUGUUGUUGUCGUUGUUGUUGUUUUGUUUUUAAAGUGAACUUACACCCAGUGAUUGAAAAUUUAUGAUGUAAGCCAGUAAGCACUCAUAAAGUAAGUGGCCUAAUUAAGAAUGAAAAAUUGAACCUGAUUUUACAAGUUUUUUGCCUAAAAACUUGGACGCAUGAAAUAUUGUGAGAAAUCAUUUUGAAUUUUGUUUGUUUAAAUUAUAGUAACUCUCUUGAUAUUCCUUAAAAUUACACAGGAUGAAAUCAUUUUUCAUAGUAUCCAUAAAUAUUGUAAGUCACUGUUUCUUUAGUCUGAGGCUUAGUAGACUGGGUGUCUACUAAGAAUGCAGUUCCACAGCUCAGCAGGUCCCAGGAUCUGAAGAAAAUUGUCUCCUUCAUCAGCCCAUCAGGACACAAAGGAGUAAAUCCAGAUUUGGUGGUGGUGAGGUGACAGUAUAAGACUAACCUGGGGCCUUCUGCAGGAAAACUUUCCCUGAAGCAAAUCUGAGGAUAGUAGCCAGGGAGACAGGCAUUAUUGACCUUUGGCCUUGUUUUUUAAGCAUAAUUUGAUUUUUUUUUUUUUUCUCAGAGAACUUUAGGGAAAUUCUCCUUUGUCUUUAGUUUAAUGUAGAAAUGGCCCCUGAAAAACCAACACAUUAGGAAAAUUUUUUUCUCAGCCUUGAGUAUAUUCACAUGUCACCAGGCUCUGAAAUGAGUUAUCACUGUGCUUUAUUAUUUUGCCUCAUAGCUAUUGCCUUUCUGAUCCUGAACUUGAGCACUUCAUGACCCAUCUUUUUAGCAGCCUUUUACACUGUGCUAGUGUUUUUUAAAUUUAUGGUUGAGUAAGUCAAGAUUUGGAUGGAAGGAAGAUGAAAUUGAAAUAUAUCUGUCACCAAUGUGUGUGUAUGUGCAUGUGCAUGUGAUAAAAAGCAUAUUGAUUCAACAUCCUCCUCAUUAUGUUAUAGACAAAGCAAAAAUAAGAAUGUAUAGUGAAAGGGCAUAUAUUGCCAGCAACAUGUUAGUAAGUAUUUAAAAUUCAGAGUAUCUUCUCUUUUUUAUUAUGCAGAAUAAAUGAUUAAAGCUGAAUAUUGGUGAACCACUCACUGCCUGUGCUCUUUGACUUGUUGGUGAUCCACUUUCUACAACAUCACAUCCACUUUUUUUUGUUAUAAAUAACUUUUCUAUGGGUUAUUUUCACUCUGCAACAAUCUCUUUAACCAAGGGAAGGAGAAUUCCUUUGGAAAAUACUCAAAUCUUUGGUACACAAUGAUUGCACAAUAAACACAGUUUCUGGGACAUCUUAAGGAAGGUUAAUUCUCUAGAAAAAUCAAAUUGGUUUGCAUUUGUUGGCAAAUUUGUUUCUGCAUCUCUUUGACCAACUCUAAACCUCCAGUUCCUUGACUUUCUCCUAAACUAGUCUUAACAUCUUCCUGAUUUCCUCAUUAAUUCAGUCAAGUAGAAUUUUUGACUUCUGGUUUUUUCUUUUUAAUGAGACUUUUAACUUUUUGAAAAUUAUACUUGCAAGAGUAUUGCCAACAUGAGCUUAUAUAACUCCCAUAUAAUGGUAAGACCCACUUCCAACCUCAUGCAUCUUUAAGUUAAACUUGGCCAAGUAAAAGAGAAUAACACACAUACAUACAUACAUGCUGUGUAAGAUAUAUAUAUAUAUAUAUAAUUUCUUAAAUGUAAAGAGAAGUAUAAAUUGGUUCUAUGAUGUUAAUAUAUGAAAAAUUACAAGUUAAUAUUAAUUUUAAGCUGGGGAUGUGGCUCAAGCGGUAGCGCACUCGCCUGGCAUGCGUGUGGCCCAGGUUCAAUCCUCAGCACCACAUACAAACAAAGAUGUUGUGUCCGCUGAAAACUAAAAAAAAAAUAUUAAAAAAAAAUUCUCUCUCUCUCCCUCUCUGUCUCUCUCUCUCUCUCUCCACUCUCUUAAAAAAAUAAUUUUAAGAACUACAGACAAUUUUAAGAGGCUGGCCUGUUGCUCAAUGGACUCAUUCUGUUUGCAAAAGCCCAGUGUUUGAUCUGAGUUCUUCCCUUGUGAAGCCAUGGAUAAUCUAUGGGUAUUAAAGAUUCGUGGAUGAGAAAAGAAGAAUUUUAAAUAUUCUCAGGGAUCUACCUGUGUGACCAAGAUAUCUCUAUGUGAGAAAAACAUGACUCUCUGAGGGCUGGAAGGUAAACAAACUUUGUGAUUUCAAAGGGGUUUCCUGAGAUUAGUGAAAAUAGGAAAUAAACCCACAUCUAAUGAAAUGGUGGCAUAGCACAUUUGAAAGGAACCCUCUCCUAUGAUUUUCAGCUCUGGAAUGUGGUGUCAAUUAGAUACUGCCUUUGCCUGAGUGAGAGAUUUGCAUUCCCAUGCAACUUUAUUUCUGGCAAGGGUGACACCUGGCAGCUUAGGAAAGAAGACAAUUUAGUAAAGAAGCAUGACUGGGCAGGUCUGUCCAGCAUCAGCCAUUCAUUGCAUAAGGUGAAGAACUUUCUGGGUUUGAUGCUGUCACAGUCUCUGCCAUUCAGGUGUGCACAGUCUUGUCAUAAAGAGACAUCAAAGCUAGAACAUGAGCAAGCAGAAUGAAAAUGAUGUAGGAGAGAUGUAAGCGCUCUGGAGGUCAGAGGAGGCGGGCAUAUCCACAGAGGGACCAGAAGGGGCCUUGGAACAGUGGUGGAAGUCCAGAGAUGUCUGAAAGACCAACUAGGGUUUCAACAGACAGAUGUGAGUGGGGGCUCUUUAGUUGAGUCCACCAGCUCAGCAAAGAUGUGUGGAAAUAGAACAAUGGUGUUUAAAGACUUGUGAACAGUGAGGCAGAAGCAAAAUAGUGGGCCCACCUUUUAUCAGUCUCCCAAGGAAUAGGGUAAGAGGCUUGUUCUCAAUUCAGUAGAAAAGCAGAAGGAAAAGAUGUGACCAAGAAGUCCAUUUGAGUUUGAAAUUGAAAGGAACUACUAUUAAUUGAAUACUUACAGUGUGCCAGGGACUUGAUAGUUGUUAUCAUAACAUUACAGCCAGGAGACUGAGAAGUCUCUGGAGAGAUUGAGAAAUGAAAAUCACAGUGGAAACAACUGCAAAUUCAAAUCACAAAGCUCACCUUCUUUCUCCCACUCCUUAUUGGCUAGCAGGGAGGAAUGGUGGGGAGAUCACUACAGAAGCCAUUGUGCCAAUUCAAACAAUAGGUAAUGAGGGGUAGAAAGAGGAAGAUGGCUUUGGAAAUGGAAAGAAGGACAUAAAGAAGCAUCCAAGAAGGCCAGUCACUGUGGCAAAGGAAAUAGAUGCCUAGAAAGAGUCUAAUUAAUGCCCAGUUUUGAAGCCUGGACUCAGGAAAUGUGUUUAAAAGGAAAAAAAAAAAAAUCUGGAGAAGGACCUGGUUUAGAGAACAAAAAAAAUAAGCUCAGUUUGAUAGUUACUAUGAGAUGGAUCAGGUUCCAUUUAAGAUGUAGGAGACAUCUGCACAGAAGUGAGAGGUGAAGACUUUGAAUAAAUGGCUAAGGUGAAGGAACACAGAAGGACCAGCAGACAGCUUUAGACAAUGCCCACCUUUAAGUGGAGGAUAGAGAUAGAACUAGGGGAGAAAAGGGAGAGGGAAGUGAAUCAGUAAUGAGCCUGAAAGGCAGGAGAGAAUUUCAAUGCACUGACCCCAAAAGUUAGGAGUCCAGCAGUCCUAGUGCUAGUGGCCUCAAGUUGUAUCAGAGAGCACACUGGUCAUCCUGGGUCAUGGGCCUGGGGCCUGGGACACACUCCAGCCUCAGAGGGUGAGAAGCCAUGGGGAAGGUAAAGAUGGGGAAAGAGACUGACUGGGGUGAGGCUCAGGUCAAAGGUGACCCUAUUCAUGGGUGAUGGGGAUGUAGGAGCAGAGAAGACUGGGAGAAUAAAAAUGCCCCGGAGAAAAAUAGACAAUGGGGCUAAAGCUUAGAGCUGGAGACAGAGAAAAAAAAAAUAAAAAUGGCUUUGUUUUUCUUUCUUUCCUACCUACAGAAAACCUGUUUUUGUAUUUAUUUGCAUCUUCUUAAGGAUCAGCACUUAUGUUACAAGGCAUACCUCCAACCCGGAAAAGAACCACAAGUUACAGUGAAUAACAAUUAGUGCUUUUCUGACGCCUUCUGUUUGUUGUUGUUUGUUUGUUUUAAUUUGUUAUACAUGAUAGUACAAUGACCUUGACAUAUCAUACAUUUGAAUCUGAUGGGAUAUAAUUUCUCAUUUUUCUGAGUGUACAGGUUGCAGAAUCAUAUUGGUCAUGCAGUCACAUAUAUACACACAGUAAUAAUUAAUGUCUGUUUCAUUCUUCUAUCCUUCCUAUCCCUCACCCCUCCCCUCCCCUCCCAUCACUUUUCUCUACCUAAUCUAUGGUAAUGCUCUUCUUUUUUUUUUCCUCAUAUCUUCAUACAUGUAUUUUGUAUAAUGAUGAGUGUCUCCUUCCAUCAUCCAUGAAUUUUCCCUUCUCCCUCCCACCCCUCUUCCCUAUGUAGAGGUAAUCUUCUUCCCAUGCUCUUCCUCCCUAUCCCAUUUUGAGUCACCCCCUUAUGUCAGAGAAGACAUUCAGUAUUUGUUUUUUGGGGAUUGGCUAACUUCACUUAGCAUAAUCUGCUCUAAUGCCAUCCGUUUCCCUGCAAAAGCCAUGAUCUUAUUAUUUUUUAGUGCUGAGUAAUAUUCCAUUGUGUAUAUAUGCCAUGUUUUUUUUAAUCCAUUGAAGGGCAGAGGAAGUACGUUCUCAACUAGUCUUUCUCUUGAAAUCCAAAAAUUAGUAUUUGGAAAAUCAUGCCUGUUUAUACAAUAAGCAUUCUGAAGUGCCUACUGUGUGCCAGAACAGCAGACCCCGUCCCAUAAAUCAGAGUUAACAGGUUGUUGUUUUCUCCAGGUCCUAAGGAAUCCAGAAAACAGAGCAAGCUUCUGUAUUUGUAAUAAUGGAAUUGCAGUAAUAUGUUACUUAUUUUAAAACAGUGAUAAAAACUCAUUGCCUGGAAGUAGCCUUUGUUCGCAGCACUUCAGUAUGCAUUACAGAGCUCCGUGGUGCUUUAAGCAUGGGUUACAAAGUUGCAAAAGAAUACUUGGUGGCAAACUGUCAAGCAAGACCUUAUUUUACAUUUAAUGCCUUGUAGGAAGAAGAGGACACAAGAGGAAUCUUUGGAGAAGACAGGAGAGUUCAGUUGUUGUGAAAAGCAAGGAAUCCAUGCCUUCCAUUGCUGGGGAUCUCCAAGUCACUUGCUGGUUUUGCUGAGCCAGGUCUGGGUGCCAUCCUUAAAUGGAAGAGAAUAUUUACAAAAGAAAAUACAUUCUUCAGGUGGGUAUUUUGUAAUGUACUCCUGAGAGCUGUCGUAGAGAUAAGUUUCAUAAUGGGUCCUUUUAGCAUGAGCUCUGAACCUUCCAUCUGACCCUUCGAAUUGAAUCAUUAAUCUGUGGUCCAGACUCAAACCUCCUGUGUUUCUUAUAACUAAUAAUCUUAUUUCCUUCAUGUUAGUCUAACUUCUGUUUGAAACAGAUGCUUUUAUAAUUGGAUCCCUGGUACUUAGUGGUCUACAAAAUAUGCAUUGAUCCAUGCAUGACCUUCUUUGUUAUUUUCAAUGAAGAUAAAACUCCUGAAACUCCCCCUCCCCCACUGCCAAAAAAAACACUAGGACCUUAACAAGAAAUUAAAACAUAUAUAUCUACCUUAUAAAUCCACAUUCAUCUGAUUUCCCUCCUUCUCCCAAGCCAAAGUGAACCAUCGUCCCAAGUUAUGUGAUUAAUAUUCCCUCGCAUUCUUUUCUAUAGGAUCUUAUCAAACUUCUUUGUGUGGGCUAGGGAUAUAACUCAGUUGGUAGAGUGCUUGCCUUGCAUGCACAAGGCCCGGGGUUCAAUCCCCAGCACAACAAGAAGCAAAAUAAAAAUAAAAAAGUCUUCUUUGUGUUAUACAUAUUUCAAAAAGUAUGUGUAUGCAUACAUGUUGUUUUAACUUUAUAAAAAUAAAAAAUAUAAUUAUAGGGCUUAUAUUGGCAAGAUACACCCUGGUGAUGCUUGUGGCAGGCAUUUGGAUUGGGCUUUCUAUAAUAUUUUAUUAUAUGAAUAUAUCAGAAUUGAUUUACCAACACUACCUUUCCUGGUUGUCUGGGUUACUCAUAAGUUCUUGAUAUUAUGAACUGUGCUUUUAUGAACAUUCUUACAUUUAUGCAGUUUUAUCCAUGUGCAAUCUAGGAGUGAAAUUGUUAGGUUAAGGGUUAUAUUCAACUUUAGGGGAGAGUGUCAAACUAUUUUUUUAAAUUUUUUUAUUGGUGCAUUAUAGUUUUAUCUAACAGAUUAUGUAUACAUGGAAUAUAAUUUUCCCAUUUCAUUCCCCAGUACUUCCUCUUUCCUUCCCCUCCUCCCUCACCUUUUAUCCUUCCUCUACUCUGCUGGCCUUCCUUUUCUUAUUGCUUCUUUUUAAGUUGGUGCUGUAUAGCUAUACAGAAAGGUGGAAUUCACUGUGGUAUAUUUGUAUGUAUUUAUACCAUAAUUUGGUCAAAUGUAUUCCAAAGUUCUUCCCUUUUCAUGUGCCUCCUCCCUCCCCCUCUACUCCACUGAUAUAUUUUCCUGGGAUCCACUCUCCUUUUUAAUUUUUUUUUUUUCUUAUUGUGCUCUAGCUUCCACAUAUGAGAAAAAAAUUAAAAAAUGGCCCUUGACUUUCUGAGCCUGGCUUAUUUCACUUAACAUGAUGUUCUCCAAUUUCAUCCAUUCAUUCAAUUACCAGUAAAUGCCAUCAUUUCAUUCUCCUUUAUAGCUGAGUAAAACUUGCUUGCAUAGAUAUACCACAUUUUCUUCAUUUAUUCAUGUGUUGACAGGCACAUGGGCUGGUUCCAUAACUAAGUUAUUGUGAAUUGUGUUGCAAUAAAUGUUGAUGUAGCUGAAUACCUAUAGUGUGCUGAUUUUAGAUCUUUUGGAUAAAUAUCAAGGAGUAAGAUAACUGGAUCAUCUGCUGAUUCCUUUGAGGAAUAUCCAUUGUGCUUUCCAAAGUGCUUGUACUAAUUCGAAGUCCCACUGACAAUGUCUGAGUGUACUUUUCCCCACCAGGUGCAUGGAGCCUGGUGGAGGAAGUGUGUUCCCGGGAAGUGUGUGUAGAGGGCCAGUGAGAUUUUGGGAAUAAAGGUUGCUGUUUGAACCUACAAGGCUGUGUUAUUUUGUGCCCAGCCAGACUGCGGCAGGGUACAUGGGAAUUUAUGGUAUAAUUUUUCCCCUAUGGCUGGGAACUGAACCUAGGACCUCAUACUCUACGUAAGCACUACUAUGCUCUAACACUGAGUCUCACUGUACAGCCCUGUAUAAUGUUUAUAUAAGUUUGAAAAUUAUAAUAUGCAGGUUGAGGGGGGUUGAUGUAAAAUGAAAUUUUUUUAUAAAAAAUGCUGAAAGCAUAUUCCUAUCAGUAACAACCAAAACUAAACAUUGUCUAAAGCUAUGAAAUUUUCUGGUAAAAGCUACUGAAACUUUUUUGUUUUAAUGAAUAUCCAAACUGACUAAUGUUGGCCAGUGUUUCAUUCUGGAAAACUAAUUUGAUAAAUGAGCAUUCAUAAAUUAAUUCCUGGGCUAUUAAGCCUUGAAGAAGAGAAUGCAGUCCUAGCAGGGGGAAAAAAAUAGAUGUGAGAAAGAGGAAGCAACAGAAUUUAGCUGGAAUUCUGCAACCCGGAGAGGGAGAAGGAAUAUGGAGAUUGGCAGGGCCCAGUCCUAGGUCAGUUAUAGCCAUGGUAGGGUUUUAUAAUACUUGGAAGUUGUAUUAUGAGGAUUUUUUUUCCUGAUUGUAAGCAUAAUGUGAUAUAAACAAAUUUGGACUAAGGAAAAGAAAAUGAAAACUAUAAUCCUGUCACUCACAUUUUUAUGAGACAUGCUAAUAAGAAUUUUUCUUGAUACUUUACUUUUUCUUCUGAAGGAUUGAAAGUCUUGAUAUGAUGACCAGUAGGUGACUGCCUGACCCCAGUCAAGGACCUUUCCAGAUAGUACCUUUGUCCACGCUGGAUCACCUACCAAUAUUGACCAUUAUUCUUUUUUUGAAAAAAAUAUUUAUUCUAAUUUAUUAUACAUAACAGCAGAAUGGAUUUCAAUUUAUAGUACACAUACAGAGCACAGUUUUCCAUGUCUCUGGUUGUAUAUGAAAUAGAGUCACACCAUUCGUGUCUUCAUACAUGUACUUAGGGUAAUGAUGUACAUCUCAUUUCACCGUCUUUCCUACCUGCAUGCUCCCUCCCUUCCUAUCCCUUCCCUUUGCCCUAUCUGAAGUUUCUCCAUUUAUACCAUGCUCCUCCUCACACCCUCAUUAUGGAUCAGCAUCCACAUAUCAGAGAAAACAUUUGGCCUUGGGGGUUGGCUUAUUUCACUUAGCAUGAUUUUCUUAUCUUUAAAAAAGAAAAUUACAGUAGUCCCUUUUAUCCACAUGGGGUAGGUUCCAAGACACCAGCAAAUGCCUGAAAACACACAAAAUUUUUUAUAAAAAAUGCUGAAAGCAUAUUCCUAUCAAUAACAAUCAAAACUAAACAUUGCCUAAAGCUAUGAAAGCUAUCUAUUGCUUUUUCUAUUCAUACAUGUAUACCUAUGAUAAAGUUUGUAAAUUAGGCACAGUAAGAGAAUAACAGCAAUAAUUAAUAAUAAAAUAUGACAGUUACAGCAAUAUACUAUAUAUGCAAAUGCUCACGCGCUCUCUCUCUCUCUCUCUCUCUCUCUCUCUCUCUUUGAAUGGAAUUUUAGUUAACUGAAACAGCAGACAUCAGAAUGCUGGAUAAGAGGGGUUUGUGAUUGUUAGAAAAUAUGAUGAGGAGAUAAAUAAAUAAAUGUGUGUAUGUAAUUUUUUACUAGACAGGUAUCAUUUCCAGCACUUUAGUGUGUAUCCUAGACUUUUCUUCUGUCAUUACUCACAUGGAUAUUAUGGAAUCUUCUCAUAGAGUAUAUUCUAGUUUGUAAGUUUUCUGCCUAACACUACAUAUAAUUCAUCAAUGUUAUAAAUGUUCAUCUACUUUAAUGUUUGAGUGGUACAGAAUAUUGCAUCAUGUGAGCAAUGUCUAAACUGCAUUUCAAAUGUGCAUCACAGUCACCAACCAAUCACAGUGGAUGCUGGCUAGUGCUCUCAUACACUGUCAUUGACCAGGUCUUCACUGAGCCAAUCGCACUUUGGUGACUUUUACAUUGUUUUUAUUUGUUCCCAACCAGUUGCAAGAAUGAAGUGAAUAUCUUAUAUACUAAACCUUUGUGCACAGCAUGAUCAUUGUGUAAGGAAACGUUUUAAUAAGUUUAAAAAUUCUUUUUUUUUAUAUAUAUUUGAACACACAAGUUUAUUUACCUGUUAAUACAAAGAUUUCUGAAAUGAUUUUUUCUAAAUUUUUAUUGUUGGUUGUUCAAAACAUUACAUAAUUCUUGAUAUAUCAUAUUUCACACUUUGAUUCAAGUGGGUUAACCAAAGGAAUUUCCAUGUUUUAACUUUUAUAAUUUAUUUAACCAAAUUGUUCUCCAAGGUUUUAUUAAUUUACAUUGACAUUGGUAGGAAACAAAAGUCCAUUUUCCACACUCUCUGAGAGUACUACCAUCAAUAUUCUAAGUUCAAAUAACAUUUCACUAAUUCAGUUUGCAUUUCUUCUAUUACAAUUGAGAUAAAAUUUUCCAUGUUUCUUGGUCAUUUUUGUUUGUUUGUGUGGGCUGUCUUUUGGUAUUCUUUCUCCUUUUGUCCACCAAGUGUCUUUUCUCUUAUUUAUUUGCAAGAAGUGUGUCUAUUGAGAGCAUUGUCUUCAUUAAAGCUGCAAGCUUUUUUUUUUAUAAAUUUCUCUUUUGUCUUUUUUUUCUAUAACUUUGUCUUUUAGAUUCUUAAAAAUGUUAUGUUGUUAAUCUUUCAGUAUUUUUAAAUUCUCUUUUUGUUUGAGUGCAUAUAUAAAUAUAUAUAUCAUCCAAUUUUACUUUUGACAUUAUUUUUUUCAUUCUCUUUAUCUAAAUCUUGGUUCCACUGAGAAUUUAUGUUAGUAUGAGAUACAAUGCAGGGAUCUAACCUUCUUCGAAUUGGUGAGCUUAGUGGUCAAAUAACAUUUAUUGAAAAUAUUCUCUUUGCCUCCUGAUUUUAAUUGGCACCUUUGUCUUAUAUUGUACAUCUGUUUGCAGCUAGAUAUAUUAUUGUUAUUUCAAUUCUAUUUCUAUGUUGAUUAUUCUUGCAAUCAUAUUUUUAUCAUUCUGCAAUGACUUUUAAUAACUUGUUGAAGAGUUCCCUUUCUAUUAUUAUGCUGUUUGAAAUUUUUUGGCUAACUGGCCAUCCUUAAGCAUUUAUUCUUCUACAUGAACAUUCAAUAUUCC
rnacentral:lncRNA from 1 species